ensembl:lncRNA
CGGACGUGGGGCUCCGGGUGCCGCGGAGCAGCUGCCGGCGAGAGAGCAAGCGGAGCCCGGCCCGAAGAAAGAUUUGCAGCUGCGAUGCUGAGUAUCGCUGCCUGUGUGGAAGGGGGUGAAGAGGAGCAGCCGUGUUGUGUCUGAGCAGCUCUGCCUCUCCAGGCGCUGACUUCUACGGCCUUUUCCUCAGGGUUGUGUCUGGCUGCCUCUCACAGCCCAGGCAAGGAGAUUUUCCUCCUAGUGCCUCCAAGAGAAGCCAUAUGAUAUUUAAUCUUGUGUGUCUGAUUUAUUUCACUCAACAUUAUGGUCUCGAGGUG